rnacentral:lncRNA from 1 species
CUCUCCAGUAGACUAUAAAAGAGUAUAUAUCCUUAGUCUUGAGUAAAUCAGAAUUUUCAUCCUUGUCAAUCUUAAAAGUAAAAAAUGAGUUACUUCCCUUUGUUUAAUUUACAUUAAUUUAUAGUGAGCUUAAGCAUCUUUUUAUAUUGUUUGUUGGUCAUUUGCAUUUCCUUUUAUAUGAACUGGCUAUCCAGAUAGUCUACCUUUAAAAAAGUAGGCUGUGUUCUUUUCCAUAUUGAUGUGUAGAUCUUUGAAUGAGGAACUUUAACAGUUUGUUCAUGAUGUACAUCAAUUUGAAUUCUUUAUUUUGCAGGUAACAAAAAACCCAACUCAGAAAAGGACAUUUACUGACUAAACAACCAAAGAAGUAUUAUGUACCUGCCUAUCAGACUGACAAAAUUUUUAAAGUCUGAUGUUAACAAUCAUUGGUGAGGAUGUGAAGAAACAAGACCUCAUGGUGAUGAGAAGAUAAAGAAAUACAACUACUUUAGAAAGCCAUUUGGUGAUGCAGAUCCAAAUGCCUUAUCUGUAAUUCAGAAACCCAGAAAGCUCUGAAAUCUGAAAGUUCUUUCUUAACUUAUUUGGUGGCAAAACUUGACCUGAUGUAAAAAUACAUGUCUUCAUUUAUCCCACUUAAUGUGGAUAUUUAUACUUCUCACCCCAGAAAAAAUAAUAUAUUUGAUUAUGGGCUACUUCUCAAAGCCUGCUGAGAUUAUUCUAUAUGGCACAUACGCAUAUUACCUUUCCAAAAUCCAAAAAAUUCUUAACACAUCUGACCCCAAGGACUUUGAACAACAUAUUGUAGACCUGAGUCUAGUAAAGUCAUACAUCUGGACAUCCUAAGACUCAACCAUUCUGCUCCUAAGGCUAUUCUUUAGAGAAAUCUAUCCAUAUGUGCACAAGGAGACAUAUCUAAGCAUGUUAAUUAUAGCAUUAUUUGUAAUGAUAAAAAUUAGAAAUAACCUAAAUGUUCAUCAAUGGGAGAAUAAAUUGUGAUAUAUUAACCCAGUAGAAUGCUAAAUAGUUAAGGUAUUGAUACAUGGGUGAGCAUUUUUAAGUCUAAAGAGUUGUUGAAUAAAAAAGAUGUUGAAGAAUGAUAGAUAACAGUACAAUACAAUUUAAGGUUUGAAAACAUAUAUGAGGGUGAUAAACACCAAAGUCAAUAUUAUAACUAUUGUAUCUUUGCAAAAGGAGGAAAAGAAUAAAGUCCCUGGGGAUAUAAAGUAGGUUUAUAUUUUAUCUAUAAAUUCUAAUUUAUUGUUUAAAAUAUGAAUGUGGUAAAAUGCUAAAACAAAUACAGAUUUGUGUUCUUCAUAAUGUUCAGUCUUUUUAUGACUGCAUAGUAUUCUGCAAUGGACUAUCUCUAGCCAUUUUCUCAUUUAACUUGCUUUCACUUGCUAAUAUUACAAAUACUGCUGGAGCAAAUAUCUUUGAUAUCUUUUUGCUUAUGUACAAGUAUUUCUGUAGGCAAAUAUUUCUGUACAUUUUCACUUUGACAGUUAGUGCCAAAAAAGGCUUUAACAGUUUAUCCCCUUAACUGACAACAGAGGAGAGUGUCCAUUACCCCACACCCUCCAAAAAACUGUCAAAUUGGAGUGGGAAGAAAUGUCACAUUAAUUUUCAAUUGCUG